AUUGCCCUCGAAUAACUGGAGAUGAAAACUACUUAGUCAGCUUCGGUUCAGACAGGGGCACACAAUAAGAGAGAGGUAUGUGAGUGGUAUGUGAAUACUGCUCUAUACAGCUUAUUCCCGAAUUAAUUUGAUGGUAAGGAACAAUUUCUUUACAGUUCCUUUCUUAGAUGA